GGCGAAAGCCUGACACAGCGACGCCGCGUGGGGGAUGAAGGCCUUCGGGUUGUAAACCCCUUUUCUCAGGGAAGAAUAAUGACGGUACCUGAGGAAUAAGUCWCGGCUAACUACGUGCCAGCAGCCGCGGUAAUACGUAGGAGGCUAGCGUUAUYCGGAUUUACUGGGCGUAAAGAGGGCGUAGGCGGUUCUUCAAGUCGGAUGUAAAAUCUCCCGGCUCAACUGGGAGGGAUCRUUCGAUACUGUUGGGCUAGAGGGCAGCAGAGGGAGGUGGAAUUCCCGGUGUAGUGGUGAAAUGCGUAGAUAUCGGGAGGAACACCAGUGGCGAAGGCGGCCUCCUGGGCUGUUUCUGACGCUGAGGCCCUAAAGCGUGGGGAGCGAACAGGAUUAGAUACCCUGGUAGUCCACGCYRUAAACUAUGGACACUAGGUAUGGGGAGUAUCGACCCUCUCCGUGCCGAAGCUAACGCUUUAAGUGUCCCGCCUGGGGACUACGGNCCGCAAGGC
rnacentral:rRNA from 1 species